CCUGUUGGAGAAAUUGUACAUAAGUUAUUCUACUCAUUUACUAUAUUUCAUUAUGCCAUUUCAGUACUGAAUUGUUAUUUUCAUAAUGUGUGCUUGUGUGAGUAUGAUUACAGGACGAGUGAAUGUGAGGAAGAUUAGCAGUCAAGGUCGCGUCCAGCGAGGAGGAACCAGCUGCAUGAGUUAGAAAAACAACUAAUCUCAGAAUGUGGGCACGCUCGGACAGUGUGCCAAGAUAGAAGAAGUCACACUCAGAUAAUGGAAUAUGUGAACUGGUUUCAACUGGAUCUGUUUAUGCACCCUUCCCCAUUAGCAGUUGAAACCUUCUGUAACUAGGGCGUUCCUAACUUAAUAAAAUGCAAGAGGAGCGGAGACUGAUUCAGAGUGGUUUUGGAGGAUUGUAACUGAGCAGUCUCCGAGCACUCUCCUUGCAAGUAAAAUAUACUAAAUUCUCUGUGUCUUUUCUUGUGCAGGUUAUUCUUAUAAAUGUUGGGGGUUUAAACCUAACAUUUAAAUGGUCCUUCGAGCCGGAUGCCAAGAUACCUGACGAUCCCAGCGGGCGAGUGAGAUCCAGACAAGUCUGUGGCCACAGCAUUAAGACCCUUUUACGGGACUGGUCCCUCCCUUGCAGGCUGGGAUCCGAUGGUUGAAGGUAGAUCCAAGAACGCAGAGAAUUAAAGACCAGUUAGUUGAACCAGGAGACUGGGUCCUGAUAAAAAGUAUAAAGAAGAAGCAUUGGCACUCACCUAAGUGGGAAGGACCCUACCAAGUGCUGUUAACCACAGGUACCGCAGUAAAGAUUGCAGAACGUAGUACAUGGAUUCAUUUGACCCACUGUAAAAGAAUAAUUGGACAUGUCUAAAAUAACUAUUUCCAUCAUACUGUUCGUAGUCACCAUUCUUAUAUGUUUCAUAGUGAUAACUCGAUGGUAUCUGCUGUAGCGUUGUAGCUCUUCAACGUACCACCAGAGAAAGUCCGGUUACAAAGGGAACUGUAAUUUUAGUUUGCAGUUGUCUCAAACCCGGUGAAGAUUGUCCACCACUCUGUUGUAGGUAAAUAGGAGGAGUUCCAAUCUACAGCAGAAUGAUCACUCAAGCGCAUAAAAAGAUGGUGGCAGUGGGUGGAAUAGUUGGAAUGAUUAUAGUGGUGUCAUUACUGUUGUGGGAGAAGAAUCAUAGUGUGCAGAAGAGAAGGGUGGGCUAUUAUAACACCAAACCGUCGCAAA